rnacentral:rRNA from 1 species
UACGUAGGGUGCGAGCGUUAAUCGGAAUUACUGGGCGUAAAGCGUGCGCAGGCGGUUCGUUGUGUCGGCGGUGAAAGCCCCGGGCUUAACCUGGGAAUGGCCGUUGAAACUGGCGAACUGGAGUGUGGCAGAGGGGGGUGGAAUUCCGCAUGUAGCAGUGAAAUGCGUAGAGAUGCGGAGGAACACCGAUGGCGAAGGCAGCCCCCUGGGCUAACACUGACGCUCAGGCACGAAAGCGUGGGGAGCAAACAGG